rnacentral:rRNA from 1 species
AUGUGCACAGGGAACCGCCACACCGGGACGACGACGGACCCCAUGGACACGCGGCGGGACGUGAAGCCCUUCUUGGCCCCGGUCACCAGCCACAGCCAGCGAGGCGUCCCCGGGUUCGGCGUCUGCCAGGCGGCGCCGACGCCGCUGGGCCGCGGCGCGCGCGUCUCCGCGGCCCCGCAGCAGGCCGCCUGCGUCGUCAACCGGGCCGCCUCCCUCGAGCCGGAAGGCGGCUGCAGCCGCGACGGGAGGCUCGACGUCGAGGCGGCGGGCGCCCCGGCUCGCGGCCCCGCUCCUCCUCCUCUCCCCGCCGCGCGGGUCAGCAGGAAGUUCUGGAGCGCCGGCGACUACGACGCGGCCGGCGGGAGCCCCGCGCAACCGCCUCGAAAUGUGGGGAGCCGAAUGUGCGUCCACCCCAAGUUCCUCCACUCGAACGCGACCUCGCAUAAAUGGCCAUUUGGAGCCGUUGCAGAGUUGCUGGAUAACGCGGUCGACGAGAUCAAAACUGGUGCUACUAGAAUCGUGGUGGACAAAAUCGUUAACAAGCGAAACGGCUCGCCAGCUUUACUUGUUCAAGAUGAUGGCGGAGGCAUGGACCCAGAUUCCAUGAGGCGUUGCAUGAGCUUUGGAUUUUCCGACAAGCAAUCGGGUUCUUCAAUUGGACAAUAUGGCAACGGUUUCAAGACUAGCACAAUGCGGCUAGGGGCAGACGCUAUCGUCUUCAGUCGUUGCAUGAAGGGCAGUGGACCUACACAAUCGGUGGGUCUUCUCUCUUACACCUUCUUGGCGGAAACCGGUCAAAAGGAUGUCGUAGUUCCCAUGGUGGACUACAAGUACGAUUUAUUGACAGGGGACGCUAUACAGUAUGAGCGACAUGGUGCAGAUCAGUUCUGCUCAAAUCUGUCCGUGUUAUUAAAAUGGUCCCCUUUUGCAACAGAAGAAGAUCUGAUGGGCAAUUUCAGUGACAUUGGUCCACAUGGCACAAAGAUUAUAGUGUUCAAUUUGUGGUCUAAUGACGAUGGUGUUCUGGAGCUCGAUUUUGACACCAAGGAGGAAGAUAUUAUGAUUAGUGGUGCGCCAAAUCCAGCAGAAACAACUAAUGCUGUCAAAAGAACGAACGAAAACCAUCUGUCAAAUCAACUGCGCUAUUCUCUUAGGGUGUAUGCUUCUGUCUUAUAUUUGCAGCUGCCCGGGUACUUCAAGAUCAUACUUCGGGGACAAGAAGUUCAGCGCCACAGCAUUGCGACUGACCUCAUAUACCGUCAAGCUGUUUCUUAUACACCCCUAGAAUUCCUACGAAAAAAGGAGGGUGAGGUUGUUACAAGUAUCGGAUUCUUGAACGGUGCUCCAACAAUUAGUGUGCAUGGAUUUAAUAUCUACCAUAGGAAUCGCCUUAUAUUGCCUUUCCAUCGAGUGUUGAGUUCUGCAAGCAGUAAAGGUAGAGGCGUCGCUGGGGUGCUGGAGGCGAACUUUAUCAAGCCCACUCAUGACAAGCAAGACUUUGAGAAGUCGCAGCUGUAUCAGAAGCUGAUCAUUCGCUUGAAAGACAUGACAACUGAGUACUGGGAUUUACAUAGUCACCUGAUUGGAUACCAAAAGAAGCCCCGUGCAUCCGUUUCUCCCACCCCUCCUGGAAUGCUUACAGCAUCAGACACCAUUGCUGAACCGUCCGAGAGGAACGCAGUCGGUGCCGGUCUCUCAGUUGCCCCCUGGAGAGGCGGCACCCGCGAUCACCCCGCGAGUGCUAUUCCGAUUGCCUUUGCUCCUCCGCAUCUGUCGGUUCCUGCCGGAACCAGCGGGCACGCACCUUGCUCCAUGCCAGCUGCGCAGAUGGUGCCUGCCACUGAUUCAGCGGAGACAAGAAAAAGGAGAAACGAGGAUGAUGUCCAGAUGGAUCCGUGCAAGAGGCAGGCCAUACAGAGUUUGGAGGUCGAUAAUCAGAUUUGCCAACGCAUGACCGAACGGGAUCUGAAUGAGUUCGAGCACUUGAAGUUUGAGAAUCAGCAGCUCCAUGAAGAGUGCUUGGAGCUGGAGGUGGCUGAGAAGGAGCUUUUGCUCAAGGAGCAACAGUUAAGGCUCCAAAUUCAGCAGGCGGAGGCGCAAUACAAGAGUUUACUGAACGAGUACAUUUCCGCCACUCCUGUGAGGACGCAUAUGCGGUAG